UUGAAGAUUUCACAAAACAUUUCUGUACACAAUUAAAAAGGACACAUUUGAGAUAUAAUGGAAGGGAAAGCUGUUAUCAUUUUCUUUGGAUUUAUAGCAUGUGCUUUUGCUGUAUAUCCAGUGAAGAAAGCUUGUGAAAUUGAAUGCUCUAGUCAUUUAGAUUGUCAAACUGGAUACAGUUGUAAAACAAUUGGCUGUAAUCGUAUGUGCAGACCUGAAAGAGUAAUUUUAUCAAAUGCAGUAGUCAGAUCAGACAUUAUUACAUCAGGAUGCGUUGAGAGAUGUUUGGUGCAAGGUGGGCGAGAUUGCAGACGUCUUUGUCAGCGUGAUGUAGAUUCAUUUCCAGGAGGCCGAAUCAUCACUGGAGAUUCCUUAGACAGUACCCUCACAGGUGCUCUAGUAGAUUCUAUUCGGUCAGGUAGUCUAGUUAGACGUAUCUCGCCAGUAGAUUCUAUUCGGUCAGAUAGUCUAGUUAGACGUAUCUCGCCAGUAGAUUCUAUUCGAUCAGGUAGUCUAGUUAGACGUAUCUUGCCAGUUGAUUCAAUAGGCUGUAAAAAUACGUGCAUUUCACGGGGCUGCAACUUCAACGAGGAAUGUGUCACAAGAAAUGGAUGUUCUGUAUGUGUUCUUGCCAAGACCUACGCAUAAAAUAAGACAACCAAGGCCACAAUAGAUAGUGCAAUAUUUAUCUGAUAUUCAUCCAUGUAUUGUAGUAUUUAUUGUUUUUUGUUUCUAUACAUAAAUAAAGCAUAUGACGUAACAGAGAGUUUCAGUUAAUUGUUGUUCUUAAAAUUGAAAGAUGACUCUAACACAAUCUGAAAACAA